UUUGUACAUGAAUUUAUGAAUUUUAUGGGGAUCAUUCACAUUGUACAUGCUUCUCCAUAAAAAUCAUCAUCACCCCCUUAGUCAUAGAUCAUGAACAGUCCCUUACGUAACACAUGUUUUAGAGUUG